UACGUAGGUGACCAGCGUUGUCCGGAUUUACUGGGCGUAAAGAGCGCGCAGGCGGUCGUUCAAGUCGAGUGUGAAAGCCCCCGGCUCAACUGGGGAGGGUCACUCGAUACUGAUCGACUUGAAGGCAGGAGAGGGAAGCGGAAUUCCCGGUGUAGUGGUGAAAUGCGUAGAUAUCGGGAGGAACACCAGUGGCGAAGGCGGCUUCCUGGCCUGUUCUUGACGCUGAGGCGCGAAAAGCUAGGGGGAGCAAACGGGG
rnacentral:rRNA from 1 species